AAAAAAAAUUUGAAGGAAAAAAAAAAAAUUCAGUUUGGACUUGUAAUAUUUUUCAAAAUUUGAAUAUCGAAAAAGGAAAUGGAAACCGAAUAAGGAAAUGAAAAUCGAAAAAGGAAAUAGAAACCGAAUAAGGAAUAGAAACCGAAAAAGGAAAUGAAUAUUGAAAAAAGAAAAAGAAACCGAAUAAGGAAAAAAGAAACCAAUAAGGAAAGAAACCGAAUAAGGAAAUGGAAAUUGAAUAAGGAAAUGAAAAUCCAAUAAGGAAAUAGAAACCGAAUAAGGAACUAGAAACCGAAAAAGGAAAUGAAUAUUGAAAAAGGAAAAAGAAACCGAAUUAGGAAAUGAAAAUCGAAUAAGGAAAUGGAAAUCGAAUAAGGAAACGAAAAUCCAAUUAGGAAAUAGAAACCGAAUAAGGAAAUAGAAACCGAAAAAGGAAAUGAAUAUUGAAAAAGGAAAAAGAAACCGAAUAAGGAAAUGAAAAUCGAAUAAGGAAAUGGAAAUCGAAUAAGGAAAUGAAAAUCCAAUAAGGAAAGAAAAUCCAAUUAGGAAAUAGAAACUGAAUAAGGAAAUAGAAACCGAAUAAGGAAAUGAAUAUUGAAAAAGGAAAAAGAAACCGAAUAAGGAAAUGAAAAUUGAAUAAGGAAAUGGAAAUCGAAUAAGGAAAUGAAAAUCCAAUAAGGAAAUAGAAACCGAAUAAGGAAAUAGAAACCGAAAAAGGAAAUGAAUAUUGAAAAAGGAAGAAGAAACCGAAUAAGGAAAAGAAAAUCGAAUAAGGAAAUGAAAAUCGAAUAAGGAAAUGGAAAUCAAAUAAGGAUGAUAAUCGAAAAAGGAAAAGAAAACGAAUAAGGAAAUGACAAAAAAAUUUGAAGAAAAACUUUUUGAGGAAAAAAAAAAAAAAAAAAUUUGAGGAAAUAAAAAUUGAGGAAAAAAAAAUUUGAGGAAAAAAA
rnacentral:lncRNA from 1 species